UACGGGGGUCAGGGCAGUGUUCGUGAAUUACUGGGCGUAAAGGGCUCGUAGGCGGCCAACUAAGUCAGACGUGAAAUCCCUCGGCUUAACCGGGGAACUGCGUCUGAUACUGGAUGGCUUGAGGUUGGGAGAGGGAUGCGGAAUUCCAGGUGUAGCGGUGAAAUGCGCAGAUAUCAGGAGGAACACCGGUGGCGAAGGCGGGUCUCUGGGCCGAUACUGACGCUGAGGAGCGAAAGCGUGGGGAGCGAACAGG
rnacentral:rRNA from 1 species